AAGGGAGGGGAAGGAGAAUAUUCAUCCUCUUUUCCCAUUUGGUGUCACAUGCAAUUAUAUGGGGCCCAAAGCAGAUCAGCUUAUAUCCAGCACCUCUUAUAUGGAAGGCAUCAAUGAGAACCAAAAUAAAAACUACAAUCCCUCACUCAAGAAGUUUAAAAUGAAGUGAAUGGACAAUUGUGAGAAGAAAUGCUAUUGAUCUUCCAAAGUUGUAUAUUCGAUAGUGAAUAUUGUAUGUUUAAAGUAACCUUGCAAAAUGUGUCAUGUCAAAUGUAAUAAAUUGUAUGUUCUGACGAAGGAAUGGAA